rnacentral:rRNA from 2 species
UAAGGAAUAUUGGUCAAUGGACGCAAGUCUGAACCAGCCAUGCCGCGUGAAGGAUUAAGGUCCUCUGGAUUGUAAACUUCUUUUAUCUGGGACGAAAAAAGGCGAUUCUUCGUCACUUGACGGUACCAGAUGAAUAAGCACCGGCUAACUCCGUGCCAGCAGCCGCGGUAAUACGGAGGGUGCAAGCGUUAUCCGGAUUCACUGGGUUUAAAGGGUGCGUAGGCGGGCAGGUAAGUCAGUGGUGAAAUCCUAGAGCUUAACUCUAGAACUGCCAUUGAUACUAUCUGUCUUGAAUAUUGUGGAGGUAAGCGGAAUAUGUCAUGUAGCGGUGAAAUGCUUAGAUAUGACAUAGAACACCUAUUGCGAAGGCAGCUUACUACGCAUAUAUUGACGCUGAGGCACGAAAGCGUGGGGAUCAAACA